UCCAUCGCCACCCACCCACGACCCCCUCACCCUGGCUAGGGUUCCUAGCCCCUCCUCCUCAGCCGCCGCUGCAUGUUCCUCGCUGGCCUCGCCCGAGCGCCUUCCGGACCUCGCCGGGAGAAGUCAGCCAGCGCCAUUCCGAUCUCGCUGGGAGAAGCCAGCAGGACCCCGCCGCCAUGCCUCCCUCUCCCCCUUCUCCUCUUUUCCGCUACCUAUCUCUUUCCUCUGAACCUGAUUGGGGCACUGCGACUGGCCUCCACUCCAGAUCCGUCCGCCUUUGAUCCCGUAUCCUCCUUCCCGACGGGGUCUGUCCUCGACCACUGCGCACGGGUGCGACGGGAUCCACCACUCUAGCGAGCAGGAGUAGCACGGUGGCUGUGGUCUGCUCAGACCCCCGACCAGCGACGUGAGGCGCACAUGUAGCAGCAAGGAGCGGCAGGGAUCUAGCAUGUGAUAUACGUAUUAAUCUGUUUCUUGACUGAUUCGUUUGCAGGAUAUCCUUCCAUGGCUGGACGCACUCUUCAUCUAAAUCAUGUCUCUAAACAUGCUGCCGUUAAGGUUGGCGCUACAUAAAUCAUGCCUUCACGGCUGGACAUCACUGCUACAUGGUCUUCUCACUUGAGAUGUCAUAUAUAACGUGUCCCUUCUAUGUGAAUGUUCAACUAGGAGCAGUUUCAUCUCGAGCACCGCAAUCAUGCAUGCUACUCUCAUCGACUACUAACCACUUGCUACUAACGUAAAUCAUGCCUCCAACGCUGGACAUCACUACUAAAGAGGUACUGUCGGUGAGUAUCACCGUUUAGUUUUUUUAUACUCUAUAGAUUUAUUUAUAUGGACAGUGCAGAUUCAUCUAUUACUUCGACUAAUGUGACUGUAGCAACAUUCACUCCAUUCAUUUUUUGGGGAAACUACAAUAUUCAUUUUGUUCACCUGAACAUUGAAUUAAGGAAUGCAGAAGGUUCAGGGCUUAUGCAAAUUAUUGAAAUUUAAUAUUUGGGGACAAUGGAGAAACACAGGCAGCAGUGUUGAAUUUACACCCGUUGUUGCGCCUGCAGCUCUUCGGCAUCCUUAGCAUGAUAAGCCCAAACACGAAGAUUAUACGCCGCCAUGGAUUUGUGUGGCUGUUUACUUGUUGUCAUCAAACACUUUUUUCCUUAAUAUGUGCAGCUUUUUUGGGGCGUCCAUGGAUGCAAAGGAAUCCCAUGAGUACAAUGUACACUGACAUCAUCUUCAUCAAAUUCUUCAAGCUCAGCAAGUGUGAGGUACUGUGUAGAGCUGGAACUUCUAAUAAAAAAUGAUCUAUGCAGUAAAGCAAAGGAGAGAGACUGCAACCUUUUCAGGCUUGAAUCUAUCCCCAUUCUGAAUCUACUUGGUUAUUGAUUCUCAUUUUCAGCAUAUGAAGACCACAUGCUAUUUUUUUUCUAUGCUCUCCUCUUCGGCUCUUCCAUUAUGAUUCAGCAUAUGCUAACUGCUACUUUAGCUUUCAUGCUUGUAUCCUUGGUUAUAUUUUGCAGCGAUCCAAAUUUAGGAUUUGUGUUGAUAUCCGAAGUUCCUAAUGACGAUUGGUCCUUAUUAGUUUCUUUAAAGGAAGCACAACAAGUGGUUGUACUAGGAAGACUACCUUCACAUGGGAGUUUCUUUUUUCUAAGAACAGGGGAGUCUUUAUUAUUUCACUUGAAAAGAUGAUGUACGCAUUUAAAGUGCAGAAUUUCCAUUUGUAUAUUCAUAUUGUGCUUAACUUUUACUUUCUAAAAAUCAAUAUUGGCUGGCGGUUUGGCCAAUUAUUUAAUAAAUAAAAACCUCAGGUGUUGAUCCCUUUGAUCUCUA